rnacentral:rRNA from 1 species
AGUGAACGCUGGCGGCAUGCCUAACACAUGCAAGUCGAACGGCAGCACAGUAAGCGCUUGCUCUUGCGGGUGGCGAGUGGCGGACGGGUGAGGAAUAGAUAGGAUACCUCUUUGUCGGGGGGGAUAACGUAGGAAAACUUAUACUAAUACAGCAUAUGUCCUACGGGUGGAUGCAGGGGAUCUUCGCACUUUUCGCGUUUGAUAGAGCCGAAGCCGUGCUGCAUUGGCUAGUUGGUAAGGGAACGGCAUACCAAGGCGACGAUGCGUAGCUGACCUGAGAGGGUGAUCAGCCACACUGGAACUGAGACACGGUCCAGACUCCUACGGGAGGCAGCAGUGGGGAAUCUUGCGCAAUGGGCGAAAGCCUGAUCCAGCAAUACCGCGUGGGUGAUGAAGGUCUUCGGGUUGUAAAACCCUGUUGUUGGGAAAGAAAAGAAGUGGGUUAAUCCCCGGCUGUUCUGACGGUACCCAAAGAAUAAGCCCCGGCUAACUUCGUG